UGUUCUGUGGCAUAGUUGGUUAAAGCGCUGGACUAGCGAUACGGAGUCAUUGGUUCGAACCCCACCAAAACAA
rnacentral:tRNA from 1 species